rnacentral:lncRNA from 12 species
GUCCAAAUAAAGUUUAAUUAUAAUUUUUGUAUCAAUAAGUCUUGAGCAAUAUGUCAGUAAAUAUGUUAAUACAUUUGAAUUAUACUUGGUAUGAAAUAAAUGUAUUAUAAAUCUAUUACUUUUUUAUUUUGCAUAUUGGUUUUUGCCAUCAUAUAGGCACUCAGCUACUGCUUAGCCACAAGAGAGAGAAUGCAGAGAAGAGACAGACAGACAUAGACAAAGGAGAUGACCGAGGAAAGGAUACACGAAAUGCAUGAGAAAUUGGAAGAAAUAAAGGACCAUCCAACAUUACUACCUCCACCAUCUCAACUAAACGCAGGACGUCUUCAGGAUCAUCUACCAACAUUUCUCCGGGCUCAUCAACACUCAUCUCUAAACCGCAAGUAAUGAACAAAUAGGGACAUGAAUAAAUGUCUAAAUCUAUGAGGCAUUAUCAUCAAAAAUGCUUAUUUGAAAGGUAAAGUGGUCUUAUUAGUAUUUUUUUUUUUGUCUUGUAUUCCAUAAAAACAUCAAUAUCAAUUUAUUUGAGAAGCAAAACUGCAUUAGAAUCUAGAGUAACUUUAAUUGUAUUUAAAUCUCAUUAGGUAAUAAUUAAGGAGGUUAAAUAAAAGGUUAAAAAUAAAACUGUGAAGGCUGUGUCUGACUAAACAAAGGAGUCAGGUCUGUAAAAAACUGACAAAAGUGGUUGGAAGGGAAUGUGUGCUUUAGUAAAGGACAAGGGGGAGUUCCAGCCAAAAAUGUCUUAAUGUAUGUGAUGUAUGUGAGAGGAAGGUUUGUCUCAACAGAAACGUACAGCAGUGCUGACCAUAUCUGAGCUCCUUCCGAGGUAAGGGCGUAUGAGUCUUAUCAUAUUUUAUGCUGCCAUGAAACUCAGUUAACUGAUGCAAUACAUACUUUUCAUGGCUUGUGAAAUGGCUAUACCACUCUCAAGAUGUGUUUCCAGAGAAUAGACUGAAUUAAAGUUUGGUUUUCUUACCAUAUUGGCAAUAUUUUUGUUUUAAGUAUAAAUAUCACAAAAUGUAGUGGAAAAAAAAAAUAAGUAAAUGUAGGAAAGAUCACAUAUGACAUUAUUUACCCCAAUGAGAAACUUUUCUCAUUGGGCUUUUCACAGCAGACAUAAAGGACAGAAAAAGAAAAACAAUAAAUUCAGGACAAUGUUAUAGAAAAUCCAGGAAAAUAAAAUAAAAUAUGCUCUAAAAUCUGCAAUAAAUUAUUUAGAAAA